UUCAAAAACAUUCAAAACAAAAAGUUUUUUUUGCCUUAUACAUUUUGUUUCUUCUUCUUCUCUUUCUCAAAACAAAAAGGUUCAAGAACUCAUCAACGGUGUCCAAGAUUAAUUUCUCAUCUUCCUCAUCUCCAAUUUAUUUUCUUCUUCAUCUUUCUCUAUUUAAAUUCAUGGAUGUGUCCAAAUAUAAAACUCACAAAAAAAAUCCAUUUAUUUCACUUUAAACAGUAAAUUCAAAAUUCCAUGAGAAAUGAUACAAACUUACAAAAAAAAAGGAUAAAAAUAGAAUUGAUGAGGUUCGUUCUUUCUUCUCAGAAAAAAACUCACACCAAUAAGCCUAAAGCACUAAAUUUUAUUGAAGCAAAAAAACAAAAGAAAAAAUAAGAGAGAAAAAAAGAGCUUCCUUUGCAAAAUCAACAACAACAACAACAACAAUUUAUUUGAUCUCCGACGCUUCUUCCAACUUUUCAACUCCUCGAUUCGACUCUAAAAUUAAGCAAAUCUAAAAUAAAAUUAACAAGAUGUACUUUUUUAUUUUUUAUUUUAAAUUAAGAAGAAAGAUUAUUGUAGAUUCUUCUUUGAUCAGCUUAGAUUUGAUUCGGAUCCUAUGGCUUGAAAUUCACGUAAUAUUUGUUUGCGGCCAUCUUCUUCACCAUCUUGUUGCCUCUUCGAUCUUCAAAAAAAUGAAAGGUGAAGAAUUUACAAAUAAGGAAAAGAGAAAAGAGAAAGGAGAAUGAAAAAGGAAAGAGAAA
rnacentral:lncRNA from 1 species